rnacentral:lncRNA from 10 species
CUCAGCUCUACAUCCUAAGAAUCUUAACAAUGGCCCACAGCUAGUAAGCCUUUUCUCUGUCCAGACGCACUGCUAUGCACUUGGCAGGCAUAACUUCCUUUAAGUCUCAUGGUAGCUUAGAUGGGAGAUAUUAUCAUUCCCAUUUCAUGGAUACAGAAAUAGAGGCACAGAGAAGUGAUUGUCCUCCAUCUAGUACUGGCCUUGCACUAAGCCCCAUGCUAGGAGCCCAGGCCACCAGAUGGGAGGGCUAUCUGGGAGGGGCCACAGAUGGGACCUGCACCUAAGUCUGUCUGAUUUCAGACUGCCUGCUCUUAGCCUCCAUGCUUAGCUGCCUGGAAGCAAAAGAGAAACACACAUGAUAAUCACGAUGUCUCCACACUUUCACAUCAAAAGAGAAGAGCAAGAAUCACAGACCAGCUUUGCAUCUAGGCUUAGCUGGGGCCAGGACUCAUCUACCUGCUGAAAGAGAGCACAGUGUGACCCAGGAGGGGAAGUGUCAUGGGGGCUUUUACUGAGCAUUCUGGGGAUGAUGGAAGUUUCAGACUACAUGGGAUUUCCAGGGCCUCAAACAUCUGCACAUUCUCAACUGCCUCCGAAAAGACGGCUCCAUCAUCCCUGGGACCUCAACGGCAAGAAUUUAGCUUAAUGCAGCCACAUUUCUCCGACUUUACUCUCAGGGCCUCCAGUACGAGUUCCCUUGCACUGACAUAAAUAAAG